UCCACAAGUGAUCCAGUCCAUCAGUGAUCGAAGACAAAAGCUCACUGGAUGUGUUUCAUCUUUUGUCUUCUCCAGAUGUUAACUGAUCGACUGGAGUGCUGUGGAUUAUUGUGAUGUUUUUAUCAGCUGUUUGGACCCUCAUACUGACGGCACCCAUUCACUGCAGAGCAUCCAUUGAUGAGACACUGAUGCAGUGACACAUUUCUCCAAAUCUGUUCCCAAGAAGAAAGAAACUCAUCUACAUCUUAGCUUUUUCGGAUGUUUUGUAAAACAAGACCAAGAAGCUGUUUUGCAGUGUGUCAGGUCGCCGUGUCCUCAUCAGCUUGUGUGUUAUCGUGGCUUUGGUACAUUGCAGAGAUUUGAAGAAAUAACUUCCAAACGGUGCUGGGGUUAUACAUGACACAUGUAUAGCAGGAGAAACGAUUAUAUGGAACAGACGUUUAGGAUCGAGAAGGACAGAAGCAGUUCUUCAGCGUGUGUAGUCACUUUUUUCCUUCAUGCUGCUGUUUUUUUUUUUUUUUUAAUGAUUUGUUUUCACUGAUGUGUUUUGUUUUAUCUUCCGUGAGAUUAGCUGUAGUGUUUGGGCAACGCUUUACUUUCUGAAAACUGUUUAGAUGAUGAAUUUGUUUGGUUGCGUGUGUAUUGGUUGCUGUAUUGGUCCCAGAUUAAUAGGAUUUUUGUAUAUGUUUGUGUGCAAAGGAAAGACUUUUUCUUGAGUUUCUUUUAUGUUCUUCUCUGUGCUGUUUGUUGUUUUACUUGAAAUGUCCUGUCUUGGUCAAUCACGAUGCACUUCUAAAAGAAAUAUCGAAAAUUUAAUUUUUUGAUAUCCUUGAUGAAAAACACCAACAUAUGUUAGAAAUGUCUUUACACUCUUAAGAAUAAAGGUGCUUCACAAUGCCAUAGAAGAACCUUAAAUGGUUCCAUAAAGAACCUUUAACAUCUGAAGAACCGGAAAGCUUCUUUUUUGGUUCUUCAGAUUAUAAAAAGCAAAGAAAGAGAUGGUUCUUUAAAGAGCCUUUAACCAAAUGGCAUCGCUGUGAAGAACCGUUUAAAGCACUUUUAUUUGUAAGAGAGUAGAAGAAUCACUCUUCUAUAGGAUAGAAACACAAGGGCUUAUGUUAUAACACUAAAGGCACGGGAUGCAGUUCUUACUUCCUUCGUUUCAGGGCUUCCCCUUCGUGCAUUUUACAUUUUAUGACCUUGAUCUGAAAACUAUUCAAUGGUGUUCAUUAAGAGACUCUUCUCCGUCCAUGAAAAUAGCUGCUAGCUUGAUUACCUUCUAGGAUAGUUUGACAUUACAUUCAAAGAAGUUGUGUUAUUGAAACUGAUCAAUACCUCUUUAACAGUUUACCGUCACUCAGGCUGAAAUCUAUUGGCAGUCAUUGAAAUCUUUGUGAUUGUGAUACACUUGUCUUUAGAUUCCCAAAGAAUGGAUUCGUUCCAGCUACCAAAGAUACGCCACCAAGAUAAAAUAAAAAACAAACAAAAACAAAAAUUCCAUGCGAGUGAUUAAGUUGCUGAUGAGUUUGUUGUCAGAAUCACCUUUUUCCAUUACUUUGACUGCUGGUCCUUCGCCCACUUUUCAGUGUGAUUUUACUGUUGAUGUAUUUAGUCAGAUCUUCUGCACUAAAGUUAUUUCUUAUGCAAUUCACCUCAUGAAGGAAAAUGGGAUUUAUUUUGAUAAAUCGUUUCAUCCAUUAUUAACACAAAACUUUAAACAUGGUUUUGAAACUAUGAAAUGUGUUGGUUUUAAUUCAGAUUGAUUGCAUAUAUCUAAAUUAUUAUGGAGUCUCAACAGCUGGGAUGAUGCUGAAUGUGAAAGCCAGUACUCUGUUCUCAUCGAUCGGUUCAGAUUUUCAAAGAAAAGCUCAUUUCUUAGUUUCAAAAUGCAUUGCUGCUAACAUGUGGUGUUCAGGCUGUUCACCAGAUGAAGCCAUAAACAACAGAACCAUUCAGUUAUUGUAGCGCCGCUGUAAUCCAAGUGCCUCAAGACAUAACCUGUGUGUAGUUGUUUCUGGUCGGUAGACAGUAUCAAGAUGUCUAGAGAUGGGAAGUUGUGAAGAAGUCAGUACUGAAUACUGUACUGAACAAAUGGCUUGUCUCUUGAACAGCUUUUUUAAACAUUCUUUAUUUAUACAAUAACACAUUUUGUACAGGUAUCUGGAAAACCAGUUUGGUUGCAUGUUAACCGGAGCUUCUAGCCAGAAAUUUGUCUUCCUGUGCCACAGUUUGAUUUUCUCGUACUUUUUUUUUUUUUUUUUUU